rnacentral:rRNA from 1 species
CUACGGGUCGCACCAGUCAAGAAUCUUCCCCAAUGGACGCAAGUCUGAGGGAGCGACACCGCGUGCAGGAAGACGCUCUUCGGAGUGUAAACUGCUUUUCUCUAGGAAAAAUUUGCGAUGGUACUAGAGGAAUAAGGGGCUGCUAAUCACGUGCCAGCAGCAGCGGUAAUACGUGAGCCCCGAGCGUUAUCCGGAUUUAUUGGGCGUAAAGCGCUAAAAGGCUGUGAAGAAAGUCGAGUAUUAAAGCCCAGGGCUCAACCCUGGAUCUGUACUCGAAACUUCUUCACUUGAGGAUGGAGAGGCUAGUGGAAUUGCUGGUGUAGCAGUAAAAUGCGUUAAUAUCAGCAGGAACACCAACUGCGAAGGCAGCUAGCUGGAACAAUCCUGACGCUAAAUAGCGAAAGCGUGGGUAGCGAAGGGGAUUAGAUACCCCAGUAGUC